GACGAACGCUGGCGGCGUGCCUAAUACAUGCAAGUAGCAGGCAGUUACGAACGGGAGAGUAACGCGUCGGUAACUGGCUACAAGAGGGGGAUAACUAUUGGAAACGAUAGCUAAUACCGCAUACUAGUAGAUGGACAUGCGUUGUAUUAGCUAGUAGGUAGGGUAAGGGCCUACCGAGGCAACGCUCCGGAGGCGACCUGAGGGGGUGGACGGCCACACUGGUACUGAGACCCGGGCCAAGCUCCUCGGGGCAGCAACUGUAGGGAAUCUUCGGCAAGUGAGCCAGCGCAGAGUGAGCAAAGCCGCGGACGUGAUGAAGUUUUGCGGGUGGUCAAACUCUUUUGGUAAGGAGACGGUACUUGCCCAGAAAGGGACGGCUAACUACGUGCCAGCCGCCGCGGUAAUUC
rnacentral:rRNA from 1 species